rnacentral:lncRNA from 1 species
CGAUGAGCCCCCUCUUCCUUAUGGAUGACCUGAUUCAACCCAGGAGGGGCGUGAACAGGAAGAAAACCAUGGGCUAUUUAUUCCCAGAAAUGACAGCUCUGUAGCAAUUACAGGAAAGCCAAGAUCUUUGUUUUAUUUUGAAGUUUGUUGAUGUUGGUUGUUGGUUGGUUGGUUACUUGGUUGGUUUUGUUUUGUCAGGAACUCCUAAUACCCUGAGCAAGUGUGAUGCACAUCAGUGCACCAAGCUGAGGCGGUUCAUUAUCCAAGAGGAGUCUGAGCGAAGAAGGCAUCUGCUUAGAAGCUGCUGUGCUCAAAAUGAGGCUUUCUCCAACGCCGCUGUCAGGGGUCCCUGUGGCAGAGAUAGAUAAAUGCAUUAAAGUCUUCUGGAGAAGUAACCAGCUCUAUUUCCAUUUGUUGAGAUUCAAGGAGAUGUGGUGUUUCAACAUUAAUCGGUUGCUGGAGGGAAAGAAGUAGUAUAGACUUUAAUGUUUUAAUUUUAUUGUCCCAAUACUGAUAAUGUCAUAAUGAAGGUCAUUAAAAUGUGAAAAGGCAUAU